GGGUAGUGUGCAAAGGGCAUUCU
rnacentral:siRNA from 1 species